UUUUUAUUGGAGUGCAGUGGCCCAAAUGAUUGAUGGUGCUGGCACCUGAUUGAUUUUGGUCGCCCACGAGUGGCGGACGGGUGAGUAACACGUAGGUAACNUACCCAGAAGCGGGGGACAACAUUUGGAAACAGAUGCUAAUACCGCAUAACAACGUUGCUCGCAUGAACAACGCUUAAAAGAUGGCUUCUCGCUAUCACUUCUGGAUGGACCUGCGGUGCAUUAGCUUGUUGGUGGGGUAACGGCCUACCAAGGCGAUGAUGCAUAGCCGAGUUGAGAGACUGAUCGGCCACAAUGGGACUGAGACACGGCCCAUACUCCUACGGGAGGCAGCAGUAGGGAAUCUUCCACAAUGGGCGCAAGCCUGAUGGAGCAUACACCGCGUGAGUGCAAUGUAGGGUCUUCGGCUCGUAAUAGCUCAUGUUGUUAAUAGAAUGUACACGUAUGAGAGUAACUGUUCAUAUCGUUGAUCGGUAAUUUAACCAUGUAAGUCACGGUCUUAUCUACGUGCCAGCAGUCCGCGGUAAUACGUAGGUGUGCAAGACUGCUAUCCGUGAUUUAUUGGGCGUUAAAGAGAGUGCAUGAGCGGAUUAUUCUAAGUCUGAUGUGUAAAUGCCUUCGGCUUAUACACGGAGAAGUGCAUCGAGAUAACUGGAUAACUUGAUGUGCAGAAGAGGGUAGUGGUAACUCCUAUGUGUAGCGGUGGCAUGUCGUAGAUAUAUGGCAGCAACACCGAGUGGC
rnacentral:rRNA from 2 species